UAUGUUCAUCUUUUCUAUCCCAAUUUUUUCAGAAAAAGUUACUCAAUAGUUGUUCAUCUUCUAGGAAGGCCUUGCAUUACCAAACGACCCGACCCCCUCGCGUUUCUUCUUCACACCAGCUAACCCAGAAAUCUCGGUGAACCAGCUGUCCUAAGAGAAAACUGAAAUCCAGCAAAAGUCGCGUCCAACAGUACGCCCUCUCUUUCAUUUUUCUCAAAUUCGGCCGGCUCCAGCUCCAAACGGCGCCAACAGUACGCCUGCAAUAACCGCGUCCCGUCCCCUUUUCUCCCCCUUUUGCGAAGUUUUCAGAUAAGGGAAUGACUCCCCUUUCCUUUUACUGUUGAUCUCGAAAAGGAGCAAAGAAAAAAUUCAAUCUCCUCUUUAAAAAAGUCCAACGGAUUUCCCCCAUCAAAUUUGAUCUCAAUUUUCUGUAAAUAGUCUCUUCUUCACUGUGCUGAGGAAGGGGGCAAGCAUAGUAAGAGGUUUUUUGUUUUUAGUGUUUGAAUUCCUGAGCAAUAGUCAUUUCUACACUUCAAAAUUUUCGAAUUUUCUUAGCUUGCCGUUAGUAGUUGAAGGGAGUGGUGGAAUUACUCUUCUCGUCGUCCUAGUAUCGUUGCUCCGAGAAAGGUUGGAGCCGAGUUGAAGGGUAGAAGGCAAGUUUGGGAAUCGACUCUCUCAAGACUAAAUAUGUCCUCAUAUAUUCGAAGGCAUAGUCUUUGUUUCUUUAGUUUCUUCUUUUAAGGCUUGUUAAGAUUUAUUAUGUAUUUAUUUCAAUGUGAAAAGGUUGUGUCCCUAAGAUAUUUAUGUCUUGUCUUUAAGUUGGCUUGUGAUGACGAGACAUAUUUCUUAGCUUUUAUAAAAAAAGUUUCUUAUUAUUA